UGUAAGAAAAGAAGGAAAGUUAAAAAUUAUAUGGUAUGUGAUGUGUGUGUGAGAGAGAGAGUUUGUGUGUAUAUCUGUUUACAUUACAAUCAAUAAUUAUGGUUACAUAUAGCAGAUGAGUACAGGUGGGAAAUAGCGUUAAGCUUGAAUGCAAAACAUCUCUGGGUAUUUUAUCUAGUUUUGACCUUUAUACCAUGCAAAAAGAAAAAGAAAAAACUAAAAUCAGAAAAAUAUUAAAAUAUCUAGUCACAUGUUUCCUUUGUUCAAUCAAAGCCAAAUUAAUCAAGCUUAUUUAACUUGUGUGGUUGUUAGUGGUCUUUUUUGCUUCUUCUGAGCACCAGAGCCACUAGAAAGGGGAUUUUGCUGGUCGGAAAAUUUAGGAUCUUGUUGCAGAUCUACCCCUAAAUAGUGCAAUCCUAGACAAAGAACCAUGCUAAAAAAAGCUUCUGAACAAUUGCAAAAGCUUAUGCUAAGUCUCAAUUUUUUCACCUGUAAAAAGGGAUUAAAUUCAAUGAUUUCUAAGAUUUCUUAGAACUAUAAAAUUCAGUAAUUCAAAUGUUUGUUGGAAAAAAAUUAGAAAGUUUCCACCUGCACAGUUUUCUUUAGCUUUGAUGAGUAACAAAGCUCCACUAUACAGUGAAUUAUACAGUCAUUCACUUUCUGCAAUACAACUGAGGAGAAAGUGUGAAAUAAGAUGCAUUUCUCUGACUCCUUCAGGUUGCCAUCAGAUACAAUAGAGCACUUUCUCUUACAAGUUUGCAUGGGCCACAGAAAGGAAGCGGCGGCAGCCAGCCAGUCAGGCAGCCGCAUUCCCAGGCUCCUAAACUUCAUUGGUUAACAGAAGGAAAGAAGAAGCCAAUAGCAAAGUCUAUUGAGGCUGAACUCCGGAGGAGUUUCACUAACUGUCCAGAGUCAAGGGGUUUAGGGAGCUGCAUGAAUUCUUUUGCUAUAUUAAUCACACUUUACAAAAAGUUGCCAAGAAGGCAGCUUUAGGAAGAAAACAUACAAAGUUAGGGCUACAGAAUUUCCGAGUAAAAUCUCCGCAAGCUUGAAUACAAGGGCUAUUUAGGAGACCACAACUCACUGGGAUGGCGGGACAAGAAGGACCAGGUGGGGAAGAGCACAUGGCCUAAUUCUGCUUCUGGAAAGAACUAUGCUUGUUCGGAAAAAUAAUUUCAAGACUUCUUCUACAGGCGGCACUGUCACAUAGCAGGCGCUCCAGGAAUGCUGACCAAAUGGAGAAAUGUGAAAGUGAGGGGAGGUGGGAAGAAGAGGAGCGAGCAGAAACCGUAGCACUGAUGCCUGUGAAGAAGCCUAUGCUGUCAGUGGUGGGUGAGGCAUCGGCAGCAGCCCGGCCGAACCUCAGCCGGGGGAUUUGCUCUGCUUGUCCUGGGGCUUGGGACUCCUGGGUAAGCUGCCUGUGUCCCUCACCCCUCUUCACCCCUAGCUGUGUCAGCCACACAAGGGGCUUUAUUCUCACCACUACAGCAAGAAGUUUGCCAAUCAUCAAGCUUCCCUGUGUGCCUCUUUGAUUUGCAACAUUUAAAGGGCAUGAAGAGAAGCAUUCAGAGGCAGCCUUUUAAACCCGAAGUUACCCUAGUGUGAGUCCCAGCUGAAACAUCCUUGCUAGUAGUAACCGCUGAGCACAGCUGGGCGGAUGGCAGCGUUUGCCCUAUAAAACAUUUGAUACUCUGCCAAUAAACUAUAAAGAGGAAAAGAAAGCCCCCGUCUACUUUGCAGUUACAGGGCAGCUUUGGAAUGCGCUAACCGAAGCAAAUGUGACCCUUGCUCCGUCAGAGCACAGCAACCCAGCUCUGCUGAUGAAUGAGAGCAUAGACCCCACUUGGCAAGGCCACUGGGACUUCAGAGGCUUCCCCCAGAUCCCUCCCCUCCCUACCGGUGUCGAGUGGAUAAGAGUGUCCUUAAGGGCCACUGAAGCCAUCUGACCAUGGGUACCACAGUCAUGCUCCAUCCACUCCACCUCUUUAGGGCCUUAUUUGUCAAUUGGUGCUACUACCAUGGCAAAAGAAGGAUAGUGACCUGCACCUCUACUGCCAUUGCUGUCACCCUUAGACUGCGCUUCCUAUGAAGGAUCCUUGAAGGGAAGAGUCUCUCUAGCCAGCAAAAUCAUCUGCCUCAGCCAGACUUCAGAGGGUCUGGCAACCUGCUGAAAAUGGCUACUUAUAAAGUUUGCCAAAGGUAAAUGCCCUUUCUGAUGUUCAUAUUCAUUCUUGAUGAGUGUGGGUCAUGUCAUCCAGGCCAAGUCAGAAGACAAUUGAAUGGUAGCACCCAGAAUCAAGUGCAAAACAUGAUUCUUCCCUGCCAACCCACAAGCCUAUAAAAAUUCCAAGCCAGGAGUCAUGGGCCUCCUCCUCAGGAUGCAUUCCUUGAAAACCCAUAAGUUUUGCUUGAGAGUAUCCUGUGGGAUCCCAUCUGCUUGAGGAUCCCAGUGCCAGCCAUCUGGGCUUAGCCAUCAGGCCCCAAAGUCCUGCCUGCCAUUUCUUCCUGGAAGAUCUAUGAGUCCUUACACAGACAGGAUUCCUGGAAGUUUUGCUCUCUCAGAGUUCCAGCUUGGGAUCACUCAGAACCCUCAGACAAUUAUUUGAGUACAAGUAGUUUACUGAGGAUGGGAUCCUGGGAAACACAAUGCAGAGAAGGAAGGGCACUAAAGGGUGUGCUGUCAAGCAAGUUUCCACCACAGGCAACUGGAGCACAGUCCCACCAAGGAACUCUGAUAGCCAGCUUAGAGCAUAUACCUCGGUUAUCCCGCCCAGGGGGUGAUGAAUCUGGCUGGAGUCUUUAUCCACCCAUCCCCAUCUGCCAUUGUUUGAGAGACUUAAGUCUGGCCCUUCUAGCCUGCCAUGUGAGCAGAGGGGCUCCAGGAGGUAGAAGAAGCAGAGAAUCACAGGUACUGGCUGUUGGAAGUCAGGCCGGUGAGCACACAGUAGUGAGUGCCAGGUAAUAGAGCGGGGACACUGUCACAGGGGCUGCAGCACCAAGGUGGACAAGUAGGACCCUCUCAUGAUAUAAAGAAGGCUGCAACCAAGGAAGAGUAGUUUGCACGAUCUUCAGAGUGUGAUGACAUUUUGUAUGGUAGCCCUGAGGAAUCUACAGUAAGGAACAGCUAAGAAUAUAGGAACAGGACCAGUUGGACAUCCCCAGGCCACUGGCACUGAUAAGAGUAAAACAGGAAGUUGAGGCUUGGGACAGAAAUCCUAGUUCAAAAGGAACUGAGGUUCAAGGAAGGGAAACAGAGGCAUAAAUCUUCAGUGCUCUAGGCAAGUGAUUCUCUGUGAAGGUAAGAGGCUGAUUUCAUCUGUAGGUGUUUCAGAAAUUUGUGGGCCAUCUAAAAAUGACUGUCACACAAUUAAGUGAUGUCUCUGGAAGACAGUGGGCAAGAUUCACAAAUGCCAGGCAUUCCUACUCAAUGAAGAAUCAAACAGCAACCCCACAUCUUAUCUCUUCACAUACUCUCAGAGAUUAAAAACUUGUUUAUAAAUAUCUGAGUUUACAACCUAAUUUCAUUUCACAUAUAAACUCAAAAUCUUUUUUAAAAUUGUGUUUGUUUGUUUAAAUAAAGGGUCCUGCUAUGUCACCUACAGUGGAGUGCAGUGGCAUAAUCAUAGCUCACUGUAGCCUUGAACUCCUGGGCUCCAGAGAUCUCUUGCUUCCUUCAAGAACUUUGAAAAAAAAAAAAGAGAGAGAGAGAGAGAUCUCAUGCCUUAGCUUUUCAAGAAGCUGGGGCUACAGGAACAUGCCACUAUGUCCAGCUAACUUUCUAAAAAACUUUUUAUGAAUAUGAGGUCUUGUUACAUUGCCCAGGUGGAUCUCGAACUCCGGGGCUCAAGCAAUCCUCCUGCUUCAGCCUCCUAAAGUGCUGGAAUUACAAACAUGAGCCACUGGUUUGAACACAGAGAAAAUUUCCAGGAAUGCAACUUCCUUUUAAAUCAAGAGAAGACUUGAUUUUGUUUUGUUCAGAACUCUACCAAGAGUUGUACAAGAGUUAGAAAAGCAUAUCACUCACAGUUAGUGGUAUUAUUUGAAUCAACAAUUCAAUAUCCUGACUGAGUCAGUUAGCAUUUACAGUUCUCACAUUUGGGUAAUUUUAUGAAGAGAUGAAAGCAUACACUACUUCAUUAAGCCUUUUUAUGUAGUUGUGCCAGAACAUUUAGAUAUGGAAAUACAUAUUAUUGUACAGCAUGUUACUUCCCUUUUAUUUCUCUUUUAUAUUACAGUUAUUAUAUUGUAUAUAUUUUUAAAAG